UGAAACACGACAAAACGUUAGACGCUAAACGCAUCAAAUCCCGGCAUUGCUGUCACGAUGGCCAUUGAAGCUUGGAGACGUCAAGAAACGCAAGCUAAAUGUUUUCAUUAUGAGCUUCUUGCCAUUCCAGUUUACUUAACCAAUCAUUGGAUAGAAGUUAUUAUAGAUAUAGUUCAUCAAGCCUUUCUUGUCUUUGACUCGCUUGGAAAGAAGCACGAACAAGUUGUUUUUGACUUGAAACUGUGGAUUACGGAUGUGUACCGUUUAGUCAAUGGAUCGACUCUAGAUGUAACCGACUCGUCGUUGAUAUACCCAAUACCUCAAAAUUAUCCGCAACAAACCGAUCCAUUUAAUUGUGGAAUAUGGACUUGUGUGAACAUGCUUUCAGCAGCUGUGGACAAUCCUCGUGUAGCCAGCAACGUAUGGCAGAUUUGGAGUGAAUUCAGAUGCGAAAAGUAAACCUUAUUCACCAGGCGAACACCUUACAGCUAAUGACUCUUUAACGGUAUCAACACUGCAAAAAAAUUCAGAUACACACUGUAUCUAUUUGGACAUAUGGUUAUCACUAAUCUGCUUAUGCAAGGUAUCGUUCAAGCCAGGAAAAGUACUCUUUUCUGUUGAAGGCACAACAGAUCCCGACAGAUCAAGCAGCUAUUCUCCGAAGGUUCAUACAUUGUGUAUUGUGUUUCUGUGUUCCAUACGUUCCUUGUUGUUGUUAAACAGAAAGUCAAAGAAAGGAAACUGAUAAAACGUGAUUAUAAUAUUAGAUCGUCUGCAAAACGGAAAAGAACAG